ACGGGAGGCAGCAGUGGGGAAUAUUGCACAAUGGGGGAAACCCUGAUGCAGCGACGCCGCGUGAGUGAAGAAGUAUUUCGGUAUGUAAAGCUCUAUCAGCAGGAAAGAAAAUGACGGUACCUGACUAAGAAGCCCCGGCUAACUACGUGCCAGCAGCCGCGGUAAUACGUGGGGGGCAAGCGUUAUCCGGAUUUACUGGGUGUAAAGGGAGCGUAGACGGUAAGGCAAGUCUGAAGUGAAAUGCCAGGGCUCAACCCUGGAACUGCUUUGGAAACUGUCCUACUAGAGUGCAGGAGAGGUAAGUGGAAUUCCUAGUGUAGCGGUGAAAUGCGUAGAUAUUAGGAGGAACACCAGUGGCGAAGGCGGCUUACUGGACUGUAACUGACGUUGAGGCUCGAAAGCGUGGGGAGCAAACAGGAUUAGAUACCCUGGUA
rnacentral:rRNA from 1 species